UACGAGGGGGGCGAGCGUUGUUCGGAAUUAUUGGGCGUAAAGGGUGCGUAGGCGGUUUGGUAAGUCUGAUGUGAAAUCUAUGGGCUCAACUCAUAGUCUGCAUCGGAAACUGCCGGGCUUGAGUGUGGGAGAGGUGAGUGGAAUUCCCGGUGUAGCGGUGAAAUGCGUAGAGACCCGGAGGAACACCAGUGGCGAAGGCGGCGUCCUGGCCUGCGACUGACGCUGUGGCGCGAAAGCUAGGGGAGCGAACGGG
rnacentral:rRNA from 1 species